rnacentral:lncRNA from 1 species
AUUAUAGAGGUCGUCUUGGAGAUCACUCAGAAUAUAGUUCCUGCAAAGGAAAUUCGAAUGUUUCCAAGCUUCUACAAUAACGAAGCGGUCUUUGUCCGAGGUUCCCUCGGGCACCUCAGGAGCGUCUUAGCUAGUGAACCAUUGUAGACAUAAAGUGGUGAGGUAAAAGAACAUCUUUUGUUGCCACCGCUUGAAGUCGAUGCCAGAAAAUUUUU